UACGUAGGGGGCAAGCGUUGUCCGGAUUCAUUGGGCGUAAAGGGUGCGUAGGCGGCGCGGUAAGUCGGAUGUGAAAUCUCGGAGCUUAACUUCGAAACUGCAUUCGAUACUGCCGUGCUUGAGGACUGGAGAGGAGACUGGAAUUUACGGUGUAGCGGUGAAAUGCGUAGAUAUCGUAAGGAAGACCAGUGGCGAAGGCGGGUCUCUGGACAGUUCCUGACGCUGAGGCACGAAGGUCAGGGGAGCAAACGGG
rnacentral:rRNA from 1 species